AACGAACGCUGGCGGCAUGCCUAACACAUGCAAGUCGAACGAGACCUUCGGGUCUAGUGGCGCACGGGUGCGUAACGCGUGGGAACCUGCCCUUAGGUUCGGAAUAACUCCCCGAAAGGGGUGCUAAUACCGGAUAAUGUCUUCGGACCAAAGAUUUAUCGCCUUUGGAUGGGCCCGCGUUGGAUUAGCUAGUUGGUAGGGUAAAAGCCUACCAAGGCGACGAUCCAUAGCUGGUCUGAGAGGAUGAUCAGCCACACUGGGACUGAGACACGGCCCAGACUCCUACGGGAGGCAGCAGUGGGGAAUAUUGGACAGUGGGCGGAAGCCUGAUCCAGCAAGGCCGCGUGAGUGAUGAAGGCCUUAGAGUUGUAAAGCUCUAUUACCCGGGAUGAUAAUGACAGUACCGGGAGAAUAAGCUCCGGCUAACUCCGUG
rnacentral:rRNA from 1 species